UUGAAAGGGAAACGAUUGAAGUCAGUCGUGCUGGCGCGAAAUCAACCUUCUCGUCUUAAGAUCACAUGGCGUGGCGAGCCUCAAAACCGUCACGAAGCGUGAACUCUUGGUGAAAUGGAGCACUUUCGUGUCCGCUGGUUAACAUCAAUUUCGAACGUCAUAAAAAGGCUGGAGGGAUGUGGCUCCUUCGGGAGUGUUAUAACCUUUAGCGGAAUGUGGUGUUCGGGAUUGAGGAUUGCAACGAAUACCUUUAGGGCUGUUCCACCUGGCUUCUCUUUGGUAUCCUGGUGACGACAGCUUGCUGACGUCGUUAGGAUUCGCCUUUGAACAGGCUAGAGUGUGAGCAAAUUCGUUAAGGAUGUUGACGUA
rnacentral:rRNA from 1 species